CGAGAACUCCAAAACCUACCUCAAAACUCAUCUCCACCGAAACUCCACAAAAACCCAUCUCCGCUGAAACCUUCCUCCAUGCCUCCUCCGCCACUUUACCGCGAUGGUCGCGACCUUGCCUCCUCCACCACUCCGCGCCGCCAGCGACCUAGUUUUCUCCGCCACUCCUCCACGCUGGCCACGACCUAGCUUCCUUCUCACAAAGGGUUACAAGAGGUUUCGCCGUUCCUAACCGCGAAGCCGUCCUUUGCACAAAGGGGUCUCGACAUUCCUCACAGAGACGCUGUUCCUCACCGCGACGCUGUCCUUCACACAAAGGGGUCUUGCCGACUUCCUUGAAAAGCAUGAACACAUCCAACCAUCUGUUUACCAAAAUAUUCAUGGUGAUGAUAAUGCAUCAUGGGAUAUGGUCACUGCUAAAGAUUUGUGGGAUGAUAAGCAUUUUGAUGGGAAGGAUGACGUUAACCAAGAUGAUUAUGUACUUGUUAAGUAAGAGGACAUAGUGGAUGGCGUGGCAUGCUUCAUGGCUACUUAUCUGCUAUCGCUAAAGCAAACUAAAAUGAAUGUAGAAAGAAACUGAAAAUGGAGUUUUUUUUUGCUAAGAAGGGCACUCAUAUUUUCCAAGAAGAUGUAAUAUUACCAGAGAGAUUCAAUCCAUGCAGAGUUUUUACUUUUGUAUAGACUUAACAUUGAUCCAAAGUUUGUAGAUUAUGUAUACAUAUUUUAUGUUUGAAUUGCAUGACACAUUUCUAGUUUGGUUAGU